rnacentral:rRNA from 1 species
AUAUCAUAGAAGGUGACAAUCCUGUACAAUAUUCAAGCGCUCUUUCUCAUUUGCUUCUCUUUUUAGAGUCGGGUUAUUUGGGAGUAUAGCCUAAAAUGGGUGGUAAAUUUCACCUAAAGCUAAAUAUCGGGAGAGAGACCGAUAGCAAAGUCAAGUAGUGCGAACGAAAGGUGAAAAGAACUUUGAAAAGAGAGUUAAACAAGGGCUUGAAAUUGUUAAAAGAGAAGCAAUCAAAAUGAGGGUAAAAAGAGUGGAAAAGAAAUAUUCAAUGUGAAGAGGGGGGACAAAAGGGGAUAAAGGAUAUCAUUUAUGUGGUGUUCUUUGUUUCAGUUUGAAUUCCUUUUCUUUAUAUGUAUUUAUUUCUUUUCAACAACAAUUUAGAAUGGGUUUUGUUAAUGAAAAAGCUUAUGAAAAGCAAGGUUUCUGAGUGAAACUAAUUUUCGUAAAUU